GCUGCUCAGGUGUGCUACCUCUCCGUGGUGAGCAGCAGGCAACGAGGAGACCUCUCGGCUAAAGCAUAU
rnacentral:ribozyme from 1 species